rnacentral:misc_RNA from 1 species
AUUAUAUCAGAGAUGGGAGAACUCGCUAAUGAAAGGGCCAGGUCUGUGAGGAUGCCUAUAUGACCUUGAACUGACAAGGAAUGAGGGCCAAUGUGACCUUCCCUUUGUUCGCUGACGAGGACUCACUAAUGAGAGUGAUGGGGGAAUCAUUGACGAUAUCUAAGGAUGCCUAUGUGCUUGAUGCUCUUAGGAUGCCUGCACUCACUGAAUUAUGUGCUCGGUGUGUGCUCAAGAUGCACUAAUAAGCUGAUGAUGAGGAAUGAGGACCAAUGUGAAACUCUGAGGAUGCCUUGGGUUCUAGAUAGGUGAGGGUGCCUAAGUGACAAUACCAAUGGUAAGGAGAGUGACAAUGGCAGAGCAAUAGAAGCCCUUGUAGUUGUAGCAUUGCUAAUGAUGGGGCGAGCUAAACGAUUUUAAAAGGGGGAAGAGAGAUAGCAAGAGAGAAAAUAAUCCUAAUUUAAUUAGAGUAAUUUUGCCUUUUCAUUUAUCAUGGAAAGGCCUAUUUUAUAGAAAAAAAUGGAAAUAAAAAG